rnacentral:rRNA from 1 species
UACGUAGGGGCAAGCGUUGUCCGGAAUCAUUGGGCGUAAAGCGCGCGUAGGUGGCCCGGUAAGUCCGCUCUGAAAGUCACAGGCUCAACCUGUGAAAGCGGGUGGAUACUGCCGGGCUAGAGUCCGGAAGAGGCGAGUGGAAUUCCUGGUGUAGCGGUGGAAUGCGCAGAUAUCAGGAGGAACACCAACGGCGAAGGCAGCUCGCUGGGGAGGUACUGACACUGAGGCGCGAAAGCGUGGGGAGCGAACAGG